UGCUGGAGCCCGCUCCCGAAAAAGAUGCCAGGGCUCGGUUGGUGGAGACAGGAAGAGUGGAAAGAAGAGCGUAUCAGCGGUGACGGGGGCGGAUACUUCCUCCGGGAUUGCCCAAUCGCAGAGUUGGGACAGUUUCUAUAAAUGCUUGAGUUUCGCGGACCCGCGGUCUUUUAGGAUCAAGCACGCGGUGGGGGAUGUCUCUCUAAGUUCUCAGUGCUGCAUUUUGGAGGGCGGGACCCUGGCCCGGCGGAGCCUGGGGAGGUGGCCCAAACUCGUUGGCCAACCUGGCCUCCGGGCUCCUCCGUCAGCUCGAGUCCCCACGUUGGUCUUUAGCUCUCUACGCCCGUCUACUUCCCGCUCGCCCCAGUUCCGUCGGAAGUCCGAACUGUUUCUGCUUCCCAGAGGACCGUCGGUGACCCGGCUGAAGACCUUGAGUUUAGCGUCUUUCUAAGGGGCCUUGGUGCCCUGACGGGGAUCCUUGGAUUCCAGGUAAAUCCAGGGCCUUUGCCAGCUGCGGCUGGGAAAUGUCUGGCUUCUCCUUCUCUUCCCUCUUUCUGCCUCGCUUUUUUUCUAAGACUAAGCUCUUGAGAGGAAGGCUGGUGUUUCGUGCCUUUUGGGAAGAUAAUUUCUUGAACCUCACUCGCAAACUGUGCCUUGGUCAAACUCAAUGCUAUGUCCGGUAGAAUUCAUACGUCCCUUUAGGCAUCAUCAGGAACACAGGGUGAAUGACUUGGGACCCUCCUGUUGCUCCCACCUCAGCCUCUGCCUUCGUGCCACCUUCUGUUACUCCAAUUCCAGUUCCUCCAAGUUAUUUUCAUCCCCUCUGGGACCCCCUUCUCUUCCAGCCUGUGCAGUGUAUUCCUACCUGCAAGCACCCUAUUGCCUGGUCAGGUCCAUGCAGCCCAGUCCCCGGGGGAUAUACUCAAGUAUAGGAAGGUUUUCUAAAAAUCCUUCACAGGCUGUCCCUGAAAGAAAACAGGGUUUUCUUCCUCUUAGAUCACUUCCUUGAUCUUUUUCAGUGUUAACUGGCUUUCAAAUACUUUCUCAUUCCUUCUAACAGGUUGACCUUUCUGCUCCCUAGGGUUAGUCCCCCUGAAACUAGGCAAAAACUCAGCUACAAUUAGACCUACAAAUACAAAUGCCAUAACUCCAUGGCCUUCGAAGUAUUUAGUGAUGGAGAAGGAAAGGACUCACCAUGAAAAAGCUAGGCCAAGGCUCAAACUAAGUAGAUAGCCUUUGCUCUCGGCCAUGCUUCAUAUAUAAACUCAGGGCAACCCAAAGUGGGCAGGAGGGGUCAACCAUCAGUCUGGAGGUGAGACCAACAAAAUGGGUUUAAGUGUAAGCCAACCAGCCAUUGGCCAGUGAGUACCAGGAGCUCCCAGGCGAUGCCCAGUCUACACAGGCCAGUCACUGGGGAUGGGACUGCCCUUGGUAGCUAAGGAGGGGGGCCCUUCUCCUGGGAUAGCCAUGCUGGAAGCCCAGGGGUUCUGGUUGCUCCCCCGCCACAAGAUGUCUGUAUCCAUCGAGGAACCCCUGAUGGCAGGUAAGAAUUUUUUUUUUUGAUACAGGAGCCACUUUGUCCAGAUUUCUCAGGCUGGGCCUUCUUCCUGGUGGCUAGCUGAUGGAAGUCCUUGCCCCCUUCAUGAGCCUCUCACAUGCCUUUUGAGUUGAGUGUCCUACCCCACUAUCAAGGAGAGACUUGGGCUCCCUCAGGGCCACAUGGCGGUUAGGAGGCCUUAAGCAGCCUCUAACCUUGACCCUGGCUAAAGCUGAUCAACAAGAAGAGCAAGGGCCUGUUCCCAACCAGAGUCUACAAGCUGUGAACCCUGCAUUUUGAGACGGAGGAGUCCUUGGAAGGCCAUAAACGGCCAACCAGCAGAAACUCGCCUUAAGCCAAAAGCUGCUUACCCUAACUGACAAUAGCCAUAAGAUUAGAGGGGAAAGGUUACAACCCUAAACAGAUGCGUUCUUAAAACAUAGGCUCUUGCUGUCGGAAUCCAAGAGUCCCAUUCUGUCACUUAGCCAAAUGAGGGAUACAGGAUGGUGUGAGACCUCAGCAGGAAGAUGCAGUGGUCCCUAUACACCCCCUUGUGGCCAAUCCUUAUAGAAGCCCCUGAAGAUGCUAUGUGGUUCGCUCUGUGACCUUAAAUCCCAGUUGAUCCCUCACAAUAUCAGAUUGCCUUUGAGUGGAUUAACCCCAACUUGGACCAGAUGCAACAAUGCACUUGGUGGACAGAAGUACCCACCAUAGGGGUGUUGGGACAUCAACACUUGUUUGCCCAAACCCUAAGAAAGGAACUAAAGAAGAUAUGCUUAAGGGACUGUCCUACAGUCUGUAGAUAACAUGUCGAUAUGGAGGCUCAGAUGAGACCGACAUUGAAGUUUUUAAUUUCCUUCAAGCCCGGGGUUUUAAUACAUGGAGUAUAUUAUAACCCCUGGAAAUAGACAGCUGUCCCAAGAGAGAAGAGCUAUAUUAGGCUUGAGUGCCCCUAAAGAUGUUUUUUUGUACUUAAAAAAUUUGCCCUCACUAAAGCUCCUGCUCAGGGUCUCUUUAAAAAGCCAUUUUGUAUCUGGCCGGAAAGGGAGGGACUACUCUGGAGGGUAGGCUUCUAAUACAGAAGCUGGGAGACGUUUCUCAGCCAAUAGGCUAUUUUUCUAAGCAACUGGAUUAAGUGGCUCCAGGUUGGCCUGGCAGCAGCUGCUGCCAAUUUGAUUACUGGAGGAGGCUAACAAGUUUAACCUUUGGAAAGUGAAAGUCACUCAGUCUUUGUGAUUCUUUGCGACCCUAUGGACUAUACAGUUCAUGGAAUUCUCCAGGCCAGAAUACUGGAGUGGGUAGCUGUUCCCUUCUCCAGGGGAUCUUCCCAAUCCAGCCCAGAUCCCCCGCAUUGCAGAUGGAUGCUUUACCAGCUGAUCCACCAGGGAAGCCCUAACCUUAUCACUGUUGAGAAUGUAAAUUAGUGCAGCUACUAUGGAAAACAGUAUGGGAGUUCCUCCAACUCCAGCAGUCCAACUCCUGGGCACAUACCCAGACAAAACAGUUAUUCAAAAAGACAACAUGCACUCCUGUGUUCAUAGUGAAGAGAGAAAAAACAGUUGCUUAAGUUUAUUGCUAUGCUCACUACCUCUGCUUCUGUGAACCAGCCUACUUACUGGGUCAGCCAAACUGCUUAGUGGGGAAAGUCGCUAGGACCCAGAAUCCCAUGCCAUAUAAAAGAUAGCCAGAACAAAGCCUGUGCAACUCAGCCUCUGGAGGCAACUCUGCGGAGUCCAGACAGGUGCUAAAUAAACUGUGCUGUUCGGCA